rnacentral:rRNA from 1 species
UACGUAGGGUGCAGGCGUUAAUCGGAAUUACUGGGCGUAAAGCGUGCGCAGGCGGUUUCUUAAGUCAGAUGUGAAAGCCCCGGGCUUAACCUGGGAACUGCGUUUGAAACUGGGAGACUUGAGUGUGGCAGAGGGGGGUGGAAUUCCCGGUGUAGCGGUGAAAUGCGCAGAUAUCGGGAGGAACACCAAUGGCGAAGGCAGCUCGCUGGGACGGUACUGACGCUGAGACGCGAAAGCGUGGGGAGCAAACAGG